rnacentral:pre_miRNA from 1 species
AACAGCCUCUCUCAUCUGGCAGGCAGAUUGGGGCCCAACCCCGGGAUGGCUGCUGGAGCUGUGCCAGUUCUCCGGGCUGACUGACCCCGAUCUGCCUGCCAGAUGAGGGAGGGAAGC